GGUCCAGCCUGCCCAGUGACUACAAGUUUAACGGCCGCGGUAUUUUGACCGUGCAAAGGUAGCGCAAUCACUUGUCUUUUAAAUAGAGACCUGUAUGAAUGGCCAAACGAGGGCUUAACUGUCUCCCCCUUCCAGUCAGUGAAAUUGAUCUAUCCGUGCAGAAGCGGGUAUAAACAUACAAGACGAGAAGACCCUUUGGAGCUUAAGGUACAAAGUUUAACCAUGUUAAACAACUUAUUAAAGAGCAAAAACUUAAUGGAAAAUAAACAUUUACCUUCGGUUGGGGCGACCGCGGAGGAAAAAUCAGCCUCCGAGUGGAACGGGCUAAAUACCUAAAACCAAGAGAGACAUCUCUAAGCCACAGAAAAUCUGACCAAAAAUGAUCCGACACAUAGUCGAUCAACGAACCAAGUUACCCUAGGGAUAACAGCGCAAUCCUCUCCCAGAGUCCAUAUCGACGAGGGGGUUUACGACCUCGAUGUUGGAUCAGGACAUCCUAAUGGUGCAGCCGCUAUUAAGGGUUCGUUUGUUCAACGAUUAAAGUCCUACGUGAUCUGAGUUCAGACCGG
rnacentral:rRNA from 1 species